rnacentral:rRNA from 1 species
AACGAACGCUGGCGGCAGGCUUAACACAUGCAAGUCGAACGCAUCCUUCGGGGUGAGUGGCAGACGGGUGAGUAACGCGUGGGAACGUGCCCUUCAGUUCGGGAUAACCCAGGGAAACUUGGGCUAAUACCGGAUACGUGCGAGAGCAGAAAGAUUUAUCGCUGAAGGAUCGGCCCGCGUCUGAUUAGCUAGUUGGUGGGGUAAUGGCCCACCAAGGCGACGAUCAGUAGCUGGUCUGAGAGGAUGAUCAGCCACAUUGGGACUGGGACACGGCCCGAACGGGGGCGGGGGGCAGCAGUGGGGAAUAUUGGACAAUGGGCGCAAGCCUGAUCCAGCCAUGCCGCGUGAGUGAUGAAGGCCUUAGGGUUGUAAAGCUCUUUCGUCCGGGACGAUAAUGACGGUACCGGAAGAAGAAGCCCCGGCUAACUUCGUGCCAGCCGCCGCCGUAA